rnacentral:ncRNA from 1 species
AGUCAGAAUCCCGCCUGGAAAGGCGACGAUGCAUUCGUGCCUCGGCCUCGAGAGGCGUAGCUAGACGGCCGUGUGACGUGGAAAGAGCCCGAUUCCGACCCGAGAGGACCGCGGCAAGACGGCGGCCUCGAAGUCGGUGGAUCCUCCUGCUCGAAAGGCGGGGUGCUAAACCAUUCGCAGACGACCUAGUUGAAGAUCGGGGUGUCGUGAUCACUAGAGCAGUACAUCUCACUGCGAUUUGUUGAGAGAAAGCCUCAAGAUCUGUCGGUUUGU